rnacentral:lncRNA from 1 species
UGCUUUUAACUUCUUUUUUAAGUGCGCCUACACAUAUAUCAUGAACCCGCAGCAAUUAUAGAGAGAACUGGACUACGUUUUCCAAAUAGGUUGUGCGCAUGGGUACACGAACCAAUUUAUAAAUAGAAUCCACCAAAAGAUGAAAAAAGUCAUACACAAGCAGAAUACAGCUGAAGCAAGAGACGAUCGCAAUGAUGACUUCUUACCUGUCCCGUAUGAUACCACCAAAUUAAAAUCAGUUAAAAAUAUAGCAUGCAAAGCUAAGAAGAGAGUGACCAUAAAAAGAGCACCGACAGCGUUCAACAUCCUCAGAAAUGAUAAGGACCCCCAUAGCCAACUAGAAAAACUGGGUGUAUAAGAAAUACCUGUAGAGUACCCAGCAAAUAAUACAAAUGCUUCCUACAUAGGAGUUACAAGGAGAACCUUAGCCCAGAGACUGAGGGAGCACCGGGGUGACUUAGGGAGAGGCAGGGUGGCAACAGCACUGUCCCGGGAAGCAUAUUCCAAUGA